rnacentral:lncRNA from 1 species
AUGGGGCCGGGGAACAGCAGGCUUUGGGGACGGAGGGGGUAAAGGUGGACUUGGAGGUCCGGCUUGGUGACUGAGGGCUUUGAGGGCUUGUCCCUGACAUGAGGAACUUGGCAGGUUUGGGGGGAGGAGGACGCUGAGCCAAGAGCGAAUGUGCCUCUCCCAGAAGGACACAAGGCCCUGGCAGCCCGGGCUGGUACCAGGCUCACCCACAGUAGGGUCGGGGCUGGGUGUGGGUGGGAGGCCCCAGGCCCAGGUGUCUGUACACCGCCCUGCAGAGUGUUGAGGGUGAGCAGCACGAGAAGGCAGUGGAGCUGCUGAAGGCAGCCCAGGGCUCGGUGAAGCUGGUGGUGCGUUACACGCCUCGCGUGCUGGAGGAGAUGGAGGCCCGCUUCGAGAAGAUGCGCUCUGCUCGCCGGCGCCAGCAGCACCAGAGCUACUCGUGAGCCCUUUGCCACCACACCCCUGUGGCCUCCACCGCCUCCUUUAUCCCCAGAGUCCCAGACCAGACCAGUGACUUCUGGGACGUUGAUGGCCACCACCCCCAGCCCCGGCUUCUCUCUCUGGGGUUCUGACCCUUGACCCCUGACCCAGGCUCUCACAAGCUAUUCUGGCUAAAUCCUUUGGGGGGUCUCCUGGGCUCACUUUCGUCCCAAGGUCUGCAGCCGACUCUCCAGAAUCCCUCAGUCCACUGCCCUGGGCCCAGGCCCGGCUCUCUCCCAUGCCUCCCCAGGUCCCCUUCCCUGAGCUUGACUCCCCUCUCUUCCCCCUCUUUGCAGGUCCUUGGAGUCUCGAGGCUGAAACCACAGAUCUGGACCCUCACCCUCACCCCCUCCCCUGUACAGUAUUUAUUGUCACCGGCUCCUUAUUUAAAGAUCUUUGACCCUCAUUGAGUGUCUGUGUAUCUGUCCUGCAUCCUGGGGCUAGAGUGUCUUGAGAUGUUGGGGGUGGGUGGAGAGAAGUUGAAGUCCAGAGACUGCUUUUCAGAGCCUGAGAGCAGAGGCAGAACUUUCCCCCAAGGUC